GCGGCGGACGGGUGAGUAACACGUGGGUAACCUGCCUGUAAGACUGGGAUAACUCCGGGAAACCGGAGCUAAUACCGGAUAGUUCCUUGAACCGCAUGGUUCAAGGAUGAAAGACGGUUUCGGCUGUCACUUACAGAUGGACCCGCGGCGCAUUAGCUAGUUGGUGAGGUAACGGCUCACCAAGGCGACGAUGCGUAGCCGACCUGAGAGGGUGAUCGGCCACACUGGGACUGAGACACGGCCCAGACUCCUACGGGAGGCAGCAGUAGGGAAUCUUCCGCAAUGGACGAAAGUCUGACGGAGCAACGCCGCGUGAGUGAUGAAGGUUUUCGGAUCGUAAAGCUCUGUUGUUAGGGAAGAACAAGUGCAAGAGUAACUGCUUGCACCUUGACGGUACCUAACCAGAAAGCCACGGCUAACUACGUGCCAGCAGCCGCGGUAAUACGUAGGUGGCAAGCGUUGUCCGGAAUUAUUGGGCGUAAAGGGCUCGCAGGCGGUUUCUUAAGUCUGAUGUGAAAGCCCCCGGCUCAACCGGGGAGGGUCAUUGGAAACUGGGAAACUUGAGUGCAGAAGAGGAGAGUGGAAUUCCACGUGUAGCGGUGAAAUGCGUAGAGAUGUGGAGGAACACCAGUGGC
rnacentral:rRNA from 1 species